UUUGAAUCUUUUGACUUUAAGGGGUGGUGUUUCAACAUCACUUCCGUUUCCUCUUGAGGAUGAUUAUCUUUGUCGAACUGCAGCAAAUCUUUCGGUUGAGCACCCGACAGUCGAAACGUAUGCUGUAGGACAUUUCUAAGCAGUUCCUUUACGCUGAGGAGGAAACAUGAUCUGCAUCUUUGUCUUGUCGUGUCUUGCAGCUCUCAGUUUGGGGCUUGAGGUCCAUCAGUCCCACUCUGAUCUCAUCAAAACAACUGGUGAUAAAGUUCACAUUUUCUGCACCCAUGAAAGAACAAACUACAGACAGAUUCUCUGGUACCAACGGAGACCCGCAGACACGGCCAUGAAGCUCAUCGGAUAUUUGUACUUCAAAGACCCGACUAUGGAAGACGGAUAUAAAGAGGACUUUGGGAUCUAUGGAGAUCUGGGAGGGGAUACGGCGAAGAACGGAUCCCUGACGAUCCAAACCGUGAAACAGAAUCACACCGCCGUCUACUACUGCGCUGCAAGAGAAGCACAAUGACAGAAAUCCUCUCUGCACCUCAACAAUAACUGUGCUGCGUUUUAUCAUCAGUGGCUUUUAUAGAAAAAUGAUUAAACGUCUUUCAAGCACCUGCUUCUGUGGUUGGACAGAUGGAAGAUUCAACACA